UACGUAGGUGACAAGCGUUAUCCGGAAUUACUGGGCGUAAAGCGCACGCAGGCGGCUGCGUAAGUCUGACGUGAAAUCUCUCGGCUUAACCGGGAGCGGUCGUUGGAAACUAUGCGGCUUGAGGCGAUGAGAGGGGUGUGGAAUUCCCGGUGUAGUGGUGGAAUGCGUAGAUAUCAGGAGGAACACCGGUGGCGAAGGCGGGUCUCUGGGCCGAUACUGACGCUGAGGAGCGAAAGCGUGGGGAGCAAACAGG
rnacentral:rRNA from 1 species